AGUGAACGCCGGCGGUAGGCCUAACACAUGCAAGUCGAACGGCAGCACAGUAAGAGCUUGCUCUUACGGGUGGCGAGUGGCGGACGGGUGAGGAAUACAUCGGAAUCUACUUUUUCGUGGGGGAUAACGUAGGGAAACUUACGCUAAUACCGCAUACGACCUACGGGUGAAAGCAGGGGAUCUUCGGACCUUGCGCGAUUGAAUGAGCCGAUGUCGGAUUAGCUAGUUGGCGGGGUAAAGGCCCACCAAGGCGACGAUCCGUGGCUGGUCUGAGAGGAUGAUCAGCCACACUGGAACUGAGACACGGUCCAGACUCCUACGGGAGGCAGCAGUGGGGAAUAUUGGACAAUGGGCGCAAGCCUGAUCCAGCCAUACCGCGUGGGUGAAGAAGGCCUUCGGGUUGUAAAGCCCUUUUGUUGGGAAAGAAAAGCAGCAGGUUAAUACCCCGCUGUUCUGACGGUACCCAAAGAAUAAGCACCGGCUAACUUCGUG
rnacentral:rRNA from 1 species